GAUGAACGCUGGCGGCGUGCCUAAUACAUGCAAGUCGAGCGAAGCGGGGACGGGUGAGUAACAGGUAGAUACCCUCCUAUAAGACUGGGAUAACUUCGGGAAACCGGUGCUAAACCUGCUACUUAUAGAUAGCUCCGCGGUGCAUUAGCUAUUGGGUAAGGUAAUGGAGUCCCAAGGCAACGAUGCAUAGCCGACAUGAAAGGGUGAUCAGCCACACUGGAACUGAGAGACGGUCCAGACGCCGACGGUAGGCAGCAGUAGGGAAUCUUCCGCAAUGGGCGAAAGCCUGACGGAGCAACGCCGCGUGAGUGAUGAAGGUCUUCGGAUCGUAAAACUCUGUUAUUAGGGAAGCGGUACCUAAUCAGAAAGCCACGGCUAACUACGUGCCAGCCGCCGCGGUAAUUC
rnacentral:rRNA from 1 species